AGCGGCGGAUGGGUGAGUAACACGUGGGGAACCUGCCCCUAAGUCUGGGAUACCAUUUGGAAACAGGCGCUAAUACCGGAUAAUAAAGCAGAUCGCAUGAUCAGCUUUUGAAAGGCGGCGUAAGCUGUCGCUAAGGGAUGGCCCCGCGGUGCAUUAGCUAGUUGGUAAGGUAACGGCUUACCAAGGCGACGAUGCAUAGCCGAGUUGAGAGUCUGAUCGGCCACAUUGGGACUGAGACACGGCCCAAACUCCUACGGGAGUCAGCAGUAGGGAAUCUUCCACAAUGGACGCAAGUCUGAUGGAGCAACGCCGCGUGAGUGAAGAAGGUUUUCGGAUCGUAAAGCUCUGUUGUUGGUGAAGAAGGAUAGAGGUAGUAACUGGCCUUUAUUUGACGGUAAUCAACCAGAAAGUCACGGCUAACUACGUGCCAGCAGCCGCGGUAAUACGUAGGUGGCAAGCGUUGUCCGGAUUUAUUGGGCGUAAAGCGAGCGCAGGCGGAAAAAUAAGUCUAAUGUGAAAGCCCUCGGCUUAACCGAGGAACUGCAUCGGAAACUGUUUUUCUUGAGUGCAGAAGAGGAGAGUGGAACUCCAUGUGUAGCGGUGGAAUGCGUAGAUAUAUGGAAGAACACCAGUGGCGAAGGCGGCUCUCUGGUCUGCAACUGACGCUGAGGCUCGAAAGCAUGGGUAGCGAACAGGAUUAGAUACCCUGGUAGUCCAUGCCGUAAACGAUGAGUGCUAAGUGU
rnacentral:rRNA from 1 species